AAAGAAUUUAAAGGAAAAGUUUCACUAAGGGGAAACAUACAGGACUAAAGUUUUUCCUGGAGCUCUGUACCCUGUUUAGGACCUUUUAAUUUUCUCCCUGUGUUUUGGUCACCUCUGUGACCUGAUCUAAUCUCUUAGGUGGGAAGCUACUUAAAGGCAUACAGGGUUAUUUUACCAUCCAUACCAGAGGGACACGGCCCAGCAGGUUCGAUGAAUGAACCAUUGAUUAAAUGACUUCGGUAACAGCAACUACAAAGUGCCCAAACUACCAGCUCACAAUGAUGUCUCUGAGGUAAAGAUCUGUCACACUGCCCAGUGAAGAUCCAGUUCUACAAGUCAGGAGUGAUAAUUAGACUUCCUCUGUCUAAGCAAAUCAAAAGAAUUAAACUACCUUUUGGAGAUAAACCUUUCACAGCUGUAUAUUAUAACCCCACCCAAUUAUAGAUUUAAAAAAAAGCGGUCUAGGCAGAAACUCAUUUACACAUAAAGCCAAGGUAGGGGGCUCUGCCAGCUCUUCAAGUGGGGGUACAAUUUAAUGGCAGACAGUUAAGCUAUUCCAGCAAAGGCUUAAUGAAUACCCAGUACUCUCUUACAGCAGCUCCAACAACUGCAAGGGUUCUGGUCCAGGUCAAAAGUGAAUACCAUUUAUUUUCCUGAUGAUGCUCUCUUUCCACCUUUGUGUCUGGGGUGGAUCUGAUGGUUUCUAUGGUUUGCUCUGAAAAUCCCAGCCCUGCAAAGAACUUGAAAUUGUGGGGAUGUGCAUCAAAUGAGGAAUGGCUUAACAAGUUAUAUGAACGUAAUGUUCUAUAAGAAAUGAUGAACAGGCAGAUUUCAGAAAAACCUGGAAAGACUUAUAUGAACUGAUGCUUAGUGAAGUAAGAAGAACCAGGGAAAUAUUGUACGCAGUAACAACAACAUUGGGUGUGAUGAUGAACUAUGACAGACCUUAGCUCUUCUCAGCAAUGCAAUGAUAUAAGACAAUUCCAAAAGACUUGUGAUAGAAAAUGCUGUCCAUAUCUAGAGAAAGAACUAUGGAGUCUGAAUGUAGAUUGAAACACCCUAUUUUCACUUUUGUUGUUUUUUUUUUUUCCUUUUGGUUUUCCCUUUUGUUCUGAUUCUUUUUUCUUUUUACAACAUGACCAAUGUGGAACUAUUUAACAUGAUUUCACAUAUUUACAAUCUAUGUCAGAUUGCUGACUAUCUUGAGGGGAGAGAGAAGAUAGGGAGAGAGAAAAAUCUGGAACUCAAAAUCUUAUAAAAAUGAAUGUUGAAAACUAUUUUUACAUGUAAUAGGAAAAAAAUACUAUUAAGUGCAAUUAAAAAAAAGAAAAUAAAAUUCCAGCCCUGAGUAGAAAUUUUACCCUAAUACUGAACCACCCUAAACAGUGGUAUCAUAUUGAAAGGGGAACCUGUUAUGCUACUAGUUCAGUUCCCCCAAAGUAAGAAAAGAUCAGAGGAGUAAUAAUAAUACAUAAUAAUGAAUAAUUAUGCUUAUUAUUAAAGAGAGGAGCUCUUUGGUCAGUUCUGCCUACUGAACUGAGGUCCCUGAUUUCUACAAUGUUCCCACACCAGGAGUGCAGAAUCUCACAGUAAGAAGAGACAGGACAGGCUAUCUAACCCUAUCUUUAUUUUAACAAAAGUUUCCUCUACCCUGUAUCUGAUAAGUGAUUAUUUAAUUUUUGCCCGAAAACCUCCAGAGAAGGGAAACACAUAAACCCAAGGAGCAGCUCAUUCCACUUUUGGAAAGUUCAUUGCCAGAAGUUUCUCCUUAUAUCAAGCCUAAAUCUGCCUUUUGGAAACAUUAUCUACCCCCUUGGGACCAAGCAGAGCAAGUAUAAUCUCUUUUACAUGUAACAGUCCUUUAAGGACUUAAACACAGAUGCCAUAUUUGUCCUGGCUUGUCUUCUCUGUGCUAAAUAUAUCCAGUUUUUCAAUCAGUUCUUCUAUAGCAUGAAAUUUUAGACCCUUCACUGUCCUGGUUGCCUUUUUCUAUACACGUUUCACCUCAUCAGUGUGCUUCCUGAAAGUUGGUGCCCAGAAAUGAAAAAAAUGCAGUCUUGACAGAUGGGACUUUGCUAUCCAAGUACUGGACAUCAUACUUUCUUUAAUUUGGUUUAAGAAUGCAUUUUUCCAGCUACCAUAAAAUAAUCUUUAUGCACAUUUAACUUGUAACCCAAUGGAACCCCUCCGAUCCUUGUUAGAUAAAUGACAAUUUAGCCAUUCAUUCCCCAUCUCAUACAUACUCAAGAGGCUGAUUUUUGGAAUCUUACAUAGAAAUUUAAAUUUGUUUUCAUGUUACUAGAUUUGACCUAAUUUUCUAACCUAUUAAAAAGCUUUCAAAA